UCUAGGAGCAAGUUGGCAUGACAUAUCAAUACCUAUAUGGAAGAAUACUCUCUCAAUACAGAAUACUCGUAAUAUUGCAACCAUCACAAGCUGCUAAUUACAGGCAUUACAUAGGGGGAAAAUACUUGAAAUAAAAGGUAAAACUGGCUUUGCAACAAUCUGUUUCAACAUCAACAAUUACCCAAUACCAAUUCAAAUUCAGUUCAAAACUGUCAAUUGAAGAUAAUGGCAUUAAUUCAGACAUUGGUUUGGUAGUGAAUAUGUUGGAACCAGUCAGAGAUUUUAAGGUAAAUGUUUACUUUUGCUUUAAAUUUUCAUCUGUGUGUCAUAGUAAAGCAAGAAACUAGAAAGUACCAGCUGACUUAGCCUAAAUCUUGCAAAACAGGAAUAAUAGUUGUGUUCAAAUGAUCAGACUAGCUGAGAAGGCAGAGAUUUUAAGGUAAAUGUUUACUUUUGCUUUAAAUUUUCAUCUGUGUGUAAUAGUAAAGCAAGAAACUAGUAAGUACCAGCUGACUUAGCCUAAAUCUUGCAAAACAGGAAUAAUAGUUGUGUUCAAAUGAUCAGACUAGCUGAGAAGGCCUCAAAUACAACUAUAUUAAUUUCGUGAAAAGGUUUAGAAUGUGAACCCAAAUCAUGUGAAUGAGAAUGAAAGCUAGUUUACAGGCACAAGAAAGCCAAAGAAAUGGAACUGAAAAUGCUAGCACUCUUGAAUGACCCAGAUCUUAACAGGAAAGUACUCAUAAACAGCCAAAAUUGACAAAACUUUAACCUAGUUAGUUUGAUCUUGAAGGACAAUAUACAAGUAGGGUUGGAAUUAGGCUGGGCCAGGCCGAAGCUCAAACCUAGCCUAAAAAAAAUUUCGGGCUUCAGGCCAGGUUUAGGCCCGAAUUUUCUUUCCAAAUCCCUACUUGAGUCCGAACCUAGGCCUAGACCCCCAAUCGGGCCUGAUCCAAAUACAACCAUUUAAGCCUGACACGAAUUGGCCGGACUGGCCUAAAAUGGUUGGACACGACCUAAAAGACUCCUACCAAGAAAUUCUAAUAAUGAAUUCAGGCUAAGAUUGGACAAGGUUUCAAGCUCAAGUUUCGAGCCAGGAGUUAGACUUGGACCGAGCCAAGCAUCGGCCCUAGCCUAAAAUUUAUUUUGAUGCUAU
rnacentral:lncRNA from 1 species